UGGAAUAAUAAAAUAGGACGGCAUGGUUCUAUUUUGUUGGUUUCUAGGAUCACCGUAAUGAUUAAUAGGGAUAGUUGGGGGCAUUAGUAUUCAAUUGUCAGAGGUGAAAUUCUUGGAUUUAUUGAAGACUAACUUCUGCGAAAGCAUUUGCCAAGGAUGUUUUCAUUAAUCAAGAACGAAAGUUAGGGGAUCGAAGACGAUCAGAUACCGUCGUAGUCUUAACCAUAAACUAUGCCGACUAGGGAUCGGACGAUGUUAAUUUUUUAAUGACUCGUUCGGCGCCUUACG
rnacentral:rRNA from 1 species